UACGGAGGAUGCGAGCGUUAUCCGGAUUUAUUGGGUUUAAAGGGUGCGUAGGCGGUAUUUUAAGUUAGUGGUAAAACGUCGGGGCUUCACCUUGAUUGGCCAUUAAAACUGGAGUACUAGAGUACAGACGAGGUAGGCGGAAUAAGUUAAGUAGCGGUGAAAUGCUUAGAUAUAACUUAGAACCCCGAUAGCGAAGGCAGCUUACCAAACUAUAUCUGACGUUGAGGCACGAAAGCGUGGGUAGCAAACAGG
rnacentral:rRNA from 1 species